rnacentral:rRNA from 1 species
UACAGAGGUCUCAAGCGUUGUUCGGAUUCAUUGGGCGUAAAGGGUGCGUAGGCGGCGCGGUAAGUCGGAUGUGAAAACUCCAGCUCAACUUGGAGACGCCAUUCGAUACUGCGAUGACUUGAGUCCGGUAGGGGAGUGUGGAAUUCCUGGUGUAGCGGUGAAAUGCGCAGAUAUCAGGAGGAACACCGGCGGCGAAGGCGGGUUGCUGGGCCGACACUGACGCUGAUGCGCGAAAGCUGGGGGAGCAAACGGG